rnacentral:rRNA from 1 species
GAUGAACGCUGGCGGCGUGCCUAAUACAUGCAAGUCGAGCGAACGGACGAGAAGCUUGCUUCUCUGAUGUUAGCGGCGGACGGGUGAGUAACACGUGGAUAACCUACCUAUAAGACUGGGAUAACUUCGGGAAACCGGAGCUAAUACCGGAUAAUAUUUUGAACCGCAUGGUUCAAAAGUAAAAGACGGUCUUGCUGUCACUUAUAGAUGGAUCCACGCUGCAUUAGCUAGUUGGUAAGGUAACGGCUUACCAAGGCAACGAUGCAUAGCCGACCUGAGAGGGUGAUCGGCCACACUGGAACUGAGACACGGUCCAGACUCCUACGGGAGGCAGCAGUAGGGAAUCUUCCGCAAUGGGCGAAAGCCUGACGGAGCAACGCCGCGUGAGUGAUGAAGGUCUUCGGAUCGUAAAACUCUGUUAUUAGGGAAGAACAUAUGUGUAAGUAACUGUGCACAUCUUGACGGUACCUAAUCAGAAAGCCACGGCUAACUACGUG